GUGACAAACCGGAGGAAGGUGGGGAUGACGUCAAGUCCUCAUGGCCCUUAUGGGUAGGGCUUCACACGUAAUACAAUGGUCGGUACAGAGGGCUGCCAACCCGCAAGGGGGAGCUAAUCCCAGAAAGCCGAUCGUAGUCCGGAUUGUAGUCUGCAACUCGACUGCAUGAAGCCGGAAUCGCGAGUAAUCGCGGAUCAGCAUGUCGCGGUGAAUACGUUCCCGGGUCUUGUACACACCGCCCGUCACACCAUGGGAGUGGGUUCCACCAGAAGUAGUUAGCCUAACCGCAAGGAGGGCGAUUACCACGGUGAGAUUCAUGACUGGGGUGAAGUCGUAACAAGGUAGCCGUAUCGGAAGGUGCGGCUGGAUCACCUCCUUU
rnacentral:rRNA from 1 species